AGCAGCCGCGGUAAUUCCAGCUCCAAUAGCGUAUAUUAAAGUUGUUGCAGUUAAAAAGCUCGUAGUUGAAUUUCGAGACCGGCUUACUGGUCGUGCUUUUGUGCGUACUGGUAUAAUCGGUUUCUCCUUUCUGACGAACUAUAAUGCCAUUAAUUUGGUGUUAUAGGGAAUCAGGACUGUUACUUUGAAAAAAUUAGAGUGUUUAAAGCAGGCUCACGCUUGAAUACAUUAGCAUGGAAUAACGGAAUAGGACGUUUGAUUCUAUUUUGUUGGUUUCUAGGAUCGACGUAAUGAUUAAUAGGGAUAGUUGGGGGCAUUAGUAUUCAAUUGUCAGAGGUGAAAUUCUUGGAUUUAUUGAAGACUAACUACUGCGAAAGCAUUUGCCAAGGAUGUUUUCAUUAAUCAAGAACGAAAGUUAGGGGAUCGAAGACGAUCAGAUACCGUCGUAGUCUUAACCAUA
rnacentral:rRNA from 1 species